CGUUCUUGUUGUUUUUAUUAUUAUUGGACUCGAAAUAAGCAUUAUUGGGAUCAAAAGAGGAAAACCACCGCCGCUCUAGACUUUGAUCUCAGGUCUCAGUUGGAGCGCUGGUUUUGUUUGGUUGGAAGGACGCGCUGUCGGUGGGCGAGGGAUUCGGGAUAUUGUAAGGGCGGAGCUUGGCGUUGGUCCACCCAAUGAUGAUGAGCGCCCUCUUGUUCGACACGCUGCGGGCGGCGUACCUUGGGCUGCCGGUGGCGGUUGGGCCGGACCAUCCGGGGUAGAUGUCGGAGCGCCGCCACCAGCUUUUUCUCCGGUGACAGCGAAGAUUCAGAAGCUCACCGGGGUGCUUGUCAUCGUUCUUUCCGAGGGUUUUGGUUGAUCUUUGUGGGAGAGGUCGGAUUUCUUGUUCUCCUUGGCAUAGUUUGGGGGAUGUUAGGAGCGGAAGGCUUUGCAGAAGGGUUCUUACAGGGAGCGGCACUUCAACUCGGAGUCCAUACUACUGGCAUUCGAGGUGUUGGAGGCGAUGGGAGUCCAUGCUCUUCCCCGGACCCCGUUUGUUCGCUGGUGCUGGAACCUAGUCACCUCAUGCAACAACCCAUCAAGAAGACCCACACUUUCUUCUCUUCAAAAGUUGAACAACAGUCCAGCCAUGGACAUGUGAUUCGGAUGUCUAACUGCGCUGGUGUCUGCUCUGAGUCGAUCUAUCUGGACUGGAUGGACUUUCGAGGAUGAUGACUCAAUGGAGUUCAGAAAUUGGAUGUGGUUUUUGGUAGCAGUUGACCAAGCUUGCCCGGAAUGCAGAAGUGAUCAGGAAUGAGUCAGAUUUCUUAGUGGGUGUUAGAUGGACUUUAUAAAUUAAGCUAAUAAAUUGGAGUUCU